rnacentral:rRNA from 1 species
UACGUAGGGGGCUAGCGUUGUCCGGAUUUAUUGGGCGUAAAGAGCGUGUAGGCGGCUAGAUAGGUCCGUUGUGAAAACUCGAGGCUCAACCUCGAGACGUCGAUGGAAACCAUCUGGCUAGAGUCCGGAAGAGGAGAGUGGAAUUCCUGGUGUAGCGGUGAAAUGCGCAGAUAUCAGGAAGAACACCCGUGGCUAAGGCGGCUCUCUAGUACGGUACUGACGCUGAGACGCGAAAGCGUGGGGAGCGAACAGG